UACGUAGGGGGCAAGCGUUGUCCGGAUUUAUUGGGCGUAAAGCGCGUGUAGGCGGCCAGGUAGGUCCGCUGUGAAAACCCGAGGCUCAACCUCGGGACGUCGGCGGAAACCAUCUGGCUAGAGUCCGGAAGAGGAGAGUGGAAUUCCCGGUGUAGCGGUGAAAUGCGCAGAUAUCGGGAAGAACACCCGUGGCGAAGGCGGCUCCCUGGGACGGUACUGACGCUGAGACGCGAAAGCGUGGGGAGCGAACAGG
rnacentral:rRNA from 1 species